AUUGAACGCUGGCGGCAUGCCUUACGCAUGCAAGUCGAACGGCAGCACGGGAGCAAUCCUGGUGGCGAGUGGCGAACGGGUGAGUAAUAUAUCGGAACGUGCCCGGUCGUGGGGGAUAACGUAGCGAAAGCUACGCUAAUACCGCAUACGAUCUACGGAUGAAAGCGGGGGAUCGCAAGACCUCGCGCGAUUGGAGCGGCCGAUAUCAGAUUAGGUAGUUGGUGAGGUAAAGGCUCACCAAGCCGACGAUCUGUAGCUGGUCUGAGAGGACGACCAGCCACACUGGGACUGAGACACGGCCCAGACUCCUACGGGAGGCAGCAGUGGGGAAUUUUGGACAAUGGACGCAAGUCUGAUCCAGCCAUUCCGCGUGCAGGAUGAAGGCCCUCGGGUUGUAAACUGCUUUUGUACGGAACGAAAGGUUUGUCUUAAUACGAUGAGCUCAUGACGGUACCGUAAGAAUAAGCA
rnacentral:rRNA from 1 species